UGCCAUCGACGCCUGGCCCUACCCUGGGCUACCC
rnacentral:sRNA from 1 species